rnacentral:lncRNA from 1 species
ACAAUGGCAUCAAAAAUGCAUAAAAUAGGAAUAAACUUAACCAAAGUGGUAAAGACUUAUACACAGAAAACUACAAUAUAUUGAUGAAAGAAAUUAAAGAAGACAUAAAAUAAAUGGGAAGACAUCCUGUGUUUAUUGGAAAACUUAAUAUUGUUAAGAUGACAGUACUGCCCAAAUCAAUCUGUAUAUUCGGUAUAAUCCUUCUCAAAAUCUCAGUGACUUUUGUUUUACAGAAAUAGAUAAAUCUGUCCUGUAAUUUAUAUGGAAUCACAAGGGAUCCUGAAUAGCCAGAACGAUUUGAACAAAAAGAACAAAGUGAUGGUUUGAUGCUUCCUGACUUCAAAACUUAUUACAAAGCUACAGUAAACAAGUUAGUGUGAGAUGAAGACAUGGGGUAUUGGAGGGGUUGACAGAAAGAAUGAGGUGGGUGGCAGGGCUGCAGCCAAGAGCGGCCAGGAAGGGGCAUGGCCAGACUUUAGGUGCUGGGAAAGACCAGUGUCACUGCAGCACAGUGGUCGUGGCUGGGGAGGGAGAACUGUCCCAGAGCACACAGCUGUGU